rnacentral:piRNA from 1 species
UGGAUCUCACCUAAGCCGCAUGGGGCG